rnacentral:rRNA from 1 species
ACCAGCACCUCAAGUGGUCAGGAGGAUUAUUGGGCCUAAAGCAUCCGUAGCCGGCUCUGUAAGUUUUCGGUUAAAUCCAUGUGCUCAACGCAUGGGCUGUCGAAAAUACUGCAUAGCUAGGGAGUGGGAGAGGUAGACGGUACUCGGUAGGAAGGGGUAAAAUCCUUUGAUCUAUCGAUGACCACCUGUGGCGAAGGCGGUCUACCAGAACACGUUCGACGGUGAGGGAUGAAAGCUGGGGGAGCAAACCGG